GAUGAAGAACGUAGCGAAAUGCGAUAAGUAGUGUGAAUUGCAGAAUUCAGUGAAUCAUCGAAUCUUUGAACGCACAUUGCGCCCCUUGGUAUUCCAUGGGGCAUGCCUGUUCGAGCGUCAUUUGUACCCUCAAGCUUUGCUUGGUGUUGGGCGUCUUGUCUUGUAUUAGACUCGCCUUAAAGUCAUUGGCAGCCAGUGUUUUUGGUAGUAAGCGCAGCACAUUUUGCGUCUUAGUCUCUAAACAGUGGCAUCCAUGAAGCCUCUUUCUCACUUUUGACCUCGGAUCAGGUAGGGAUACCCGCUGAACUUAAGCAUAUCAAUAAGCGGAGGA
rnacentral:misc_RNA from 1 species